UCCUACCUCCUAUCGGACGACAAUACCCCCUGAAUUUUUUCAUAUAAUUAAUCGGAGGAAAAAAAAAUAACAAGGAUUUUUCUACUAACAGCGAGUGAAGAGGCGAGAACCCACCACCGCAUCCCUCAUUGUUACCCUGCUGGCAACUGUUGUGUUGUGGACGCCCCCACCUGCUACAAAAGACGCCGCAAUCCUCCUGAUGAGGGCUUCACCCCCAGCGGGUGUAGUGACGUUGUUGGUGGCUCUUUGUGCGGCCGCCAGCGUCUCGGGGGGAAUCCCCCUUAUGCUGAAUACUUGCUCCACUCCUACAACGGACAAAUACUCCAGGGAAAAAAAAUUAU
rnacentral:rRNA from 1 species